CAGCAGCCACGGUAAUACAGAGGGUGCAAGCGUUAAUCGGAAUUACUGGGCGUAAAGCGCGCGUAGGUGGUUUGUUAAGUUGGAUGUGAAAUCCCCGGGCUCAACCUGGGAACUGCAUCCAAAACUGGCAAGCUAGAGUAUGGUAGAGGGUGGUGGAAUUUCCUGUGUAGCGGUGAAAUGCGUAGAUAUAGGAAAGAACACCAGUGGCGAAGGCGACCACCUGGACUGAUACUGACACUGAGGUGCGAAAGCGUGGGGAGCAAACAGGAUUAGAUACCCCUGUAGUCCCUGUCUCUUAUAA
rnacentral:rRNA from 1 species